UUCAGUUGAAGAGUUGUUCAGACUCAAUUAUCGGUGGACUUUUUUAAUGGCUAGCUCAGAAUAUGAGCUUUCCAAAAGUUGUUUAUAUAUUAAAUAAGUUCAGUCCUUUCGGGAGCCCAGCAUUUAUUUAAAUGUGAUACACAAUAUUGAAUAACACCACAAACCAGAUAACAAUCUUGAGAAAUGUACAACUUUAUUGAGCUAUAUAUUUUUGAAUACAGAGAAUUAACAUCUUACAACAUUUAUAUAUUCAAGAUACUUUUCCAUACUUAAAUCGUAACAAGUACAGUGCAGUGAAAAAGUAUUAGCCCCUUUUAUGAUUUCUUUACAUUUUUGCAUAUUUUUGAUAUUGAAUGUUAUCAGAUUUUCAACCAAAACCUGUGUACACAAAUAACAAUUUGAUACUUAUUUAAUAAAGUUAUGAAACACUCAAUGCCUCUGUGUAAAAAAAGUAAUUGCCACCGUACACACUCAACAACUGGUUGUGCCACCUUUAGCUGCAAUGAUUGUAACAAAACGCUUCAUGCAGUUGUCAUCAGUCUCUCACAUCGCUGUGGAGCAAUUUUGGCCCACUCUUCCAUGCAGAACUGCUUUAACUCAGCAACAUUUGUGGGUUUUCAAGCAUGAACUGCUCGUUCCAAGUCCUGCCACAACAACUCAAUCAGGAUUAGGUCUGGACUUUGACUCGGCCGUUCCAAAACAUAAAAUGUGUUGCUUUUCAACCAUGUUCAUGUAGACUUGAUUGUGUGUUAUGGAUCAUUGUCUUGCUGCAUGAUCCAGUUGCGCUUCAGCUUACGGAUGGAUGGCCUGACAUUCUCCUGUAGAAUUCUAGAAUUCUCUGAUACAGAGCAUCAUUCCUCUAAUGAUGACAAGUCAUCCAGGUCCUGAGGCAGCAAAGCAUCCCCAAACCAUCACACUACCACCACCACCACCACCACCACGCUUGACCGUUGGUAAGAGGUUCUUACUGUGGAAUGCAGUGUUUGGUUUUCGCCAGACAUAAUGGGACCCAUGUCCUCCAAAAAAGUUGACUCAAGUUUGCCAAAUAAGUACCUGGAGGAUCAUCAAGAUGCUCUACGGACAGAUGACUCAAAAGUAGAACUUUUUGGACGACAUGGGUCCCGUUAUGUCUGCCGAAAACCAAACACUGCAUUCCACAGUAAGAACCUCAUACCAGUGGUCAAGCAUGAUGGUGGUAGUGUGAUGGUUUGGGGAUACUUUGCUGCCUCAGGACCUGGAUGACUUUCCAUCAUUGAAGGAACCAUAAAUUCUGCUCUGUAUCAGGAGAAUGUCAGGCCAGCCUUCCGUGAAUUGAAGCUGAAGCACAGCUGGGUUAUGCAGCAAGACAAUGAUCCAAAAUACACAAAACAAGUCUAGAUCUGAAUAGUUGAAAAGCAACAAAUUUGAAGUUUUAGAAUGUUCUAGUCAAAGUUCAGACCUGAUCCUGAUUGAAAUGUUGUGGCAGGACCUGAAAUGAGCAGUUCAUAUUUGAAAAUCAACAAAUGCCAGAGUUAGAGCAGUUCUCAACGGAGGAGGGGGACAACAUUCCUCCACGGCGAUGUGAGAGACUGAUCAACAACUAUAUGAAGCGUUUGGUUGCAGUCAAUGUAGCUAAAGGAGGCACACCCAGUUAUUGAGUGUAAGAGGGCAAUUACUUUUUUACACAGGGCAUUGGGUGUUGCAUAACUUUGUUUAUUAAAUAAACAAUAUAUGUAAUUGUUGCGUUAUUUCUUCACUCAAGUUUUGGUUGAAGUUCUGGUAACAUUCAAUGUCAAAAAUAGAGAAAAUCAGAAAGGGGCAUAGACUUUCACAGCACUGUAUGUGGACUCAAUAAAGCAAUUUAUAGUUUGCAGUUACUUGGAAGGAAAUGGCUGACUUAAAGACACACAGAGCAAUUUGACAGCUUCUGAGCAAAGUUCGGAAGAAUCAUAUCAUGCAAUAUUGCAGAUAACUUUGGUAUUGGACUGAGGCAAAAGCUGAUGGCAACCAAAAGCAAAGCUCUUUUACAAUACACAUUGAGGCGUGCAUUUAUAGCUGUGUUGUACACAUUUGUUUGUUGAUUAACAGUAUAUCAACCGAUAGAGGACUAUGAAAUAUCUUAAUAAAUCCAGUCAAAAGGUAAUAACAUUUUAAAUGUACAGAUGCGGACAAUAUAGCAUAGCGUUAUAUCACCAAAAUAUGUUUUAUAAAAGGAGAAUUACACAACCAAUGCUGUAAUCAUCUGUUCAAAAUUGUGGUUUGUAAAUGUUUUGCCUUUAAAAUGAAUUCUUCUUUAAUGGGGAAUAUACUAACAGCUCAUAUAACCAAGUUCCUCAGGUUGUGUUAAAUGAAUCAAAAUAAUCUCUCUAGAGUAUUAUGGUCUUAAUCCUCCCAAUUCACUGGGGUGAGCUAGAAUCGUGAUGUGCUGAAGAACAUUAUACGGCCAUUUAAUUGAAGUGAAACUUUGGCUAAAUCAAACCCCAGGAGGACAAUCACAUUCAUAAAAUACUAUUCCGAAAGGCAUUAUUUGUAGAUAAGUGUUUGCAGUACAGUUACAUUAAAAGAUUCAGACACUCAAAAGAGUGGAUAAAUACAGGAGCAAACAUUACAUUGGCCAGUGACUGUCAUGAUGUAGUUGUGAAAAAAUAAAGCAUUUGCGUGAAUGAUUUUGCUUCCAUAAAGCAAAUGUGCCAAGCUCUGUUUUUUGCUGUGUCUAGUCCAUCUGACAAGUCCUGGAAGAUUGUGUAUCACUACCCAGAAGGGAGCGCUCAACUCUCAGCCAGAUAUCUGUGGUAUUUCAGUGUGUCACCGAUAUGAUAACCACAGGUUCAUGAUGGCGUGGUAUUUCAGUGUGUCACCGAUAUAAUAACCACAGGUUCAUGAUGGCGUGGUAUUUCAGUGUGUCACCGAUAUAAUAACCACAGGUUCAUGAUGGCGUGGUAUUUCAGUGUGUCACCGAUAUAAUAACCACAGGUUCAUGAUGGUGUGAUAUUUCAGUGUGUCACCGAUAUAAUAACCACAGGUUCAUGAUGGUGUGAUAUUUCAGUGUGUCACCGAUAUAAUAACCACAGGUUCAUGAUGGCGUGGUAUUUCAGUGUGUCACCGAUAUAAUAACCACAGGUUCAUGAUGGUGUGAUAUUUCAGUGUGUCACCGAUAUAAUAACCACAGGUACAUGAUGGCAUGGUAUUUCACUUGACAAUUUACACUGUAGUCCUUUCCAAACCGCUGCUCAGAUGGGAAAAAUAAUAACUAUUGCCCCAAUCCAAAGAGCUUUGAAUAUCCAAAUCCAGUUUUUACACACAGUGGACGGAGCCAAUCAAACAAAACAUAUUGAGCAUUUACAUAUUCAUACAAUAUACACACAGAUCUAAAACAUAUUCAGAUGUGCAGCCAUGAAGAACGUGUCAGAGAAAAAUGCCAGUCUAAUGUGUUGGUUGCUCCAUAGGCUACAUUCCAUUUAUAUCUGCAACUUCCUGUAGUGUUAUACCUACUGAAUAUGGACCUGUUUUCCCAACCAACUAUAGGAAAAACAUAUCACAAUGCUGUGUACUGUAGCCUCCGCAUAACAUGCCAUUCCUAAAUGCUAUCAGAGCACCAACUUGUUUGGCAGGCUUCUGCAUCAGACAUUUGCCAAAUGUAUUGCUUGUGUUUGUUUAGAUUCCUUUUCAAAUGGUAUGUUUUACAGUACAGUACCUACAUAUGUACACACACACACACACACACCAGUUUACAGUACAUGUUCAUACCUUUUCAACCUCAUCAACACAUCACAUGCCCAUUAGAUAUGCUGGGCUGUAUGGUAAAGCUGCUUCAAAACCAAGUCUCAUUGCAUUGUCCAAUCUGUAAUCCAACUCUCCUUGACAACUGAAGAACAUCGUCUUAACCUCGGCACAUACACUACACCUUAGAAUUGAACUUGUUUUGCUUUAUAAAGAAAUGUCAAACAGUUUUAUCAAUACUGAAAAUUACAAGAAGUUUCUUGUUUCUUGGCUCAAUAAAAAAAACAAAGCGCUUUGUCAACAGUGAUAUCAAAAUCUCACUAUUUGAAUCCAAUUGUAAAAGUGACAAUGGGCAAUAAAACAGUCUCCAGUAUUUUUUUUGGUUCUACUUAAAGUUGUGACUUCAUUGUUUUUGUGUUAGAUAUAAAGUAUUCAAUCCACUGGUAAAUUUGGACAGGGAUCACGUACUGUACAACUUGUUAUUGCGUAGUACAACAGUUAUUGCGAAAUAUAAAAUGGGACAAGUGGCGACUUCACGACCAACCUAUUAGCCCUUCCAUGGCAACAUAUCCAUGCUUCUUCUGACAACGUAUAUGGAAGAGCCCCUUUCACCAUCAGAGAAAACAAAUGAUAAACAUAAAAUCCAAAUAUCUACACUGAUUAUGUAUUCUAUGAUCAAAUAAACCUUUUCUCAUUAAAAGAAUAAGAACACAAUAACAAUAUAAUCAAUGAUCAUCGUAAGAAAACUAUAUUCUUAUCUUCAAAAUGACAUAAUGAGAAGAGUAUCCUCAUCUCAUUGCACAGUCCUCUGCUCGGUUCCGUAAAAUAAUCUAAGGUUAUUUACAACAUACCAUAUUCUUUUUCCACAAUAUAACAUUGCCGUGCUUCACGACACAUAUCCUCUGCUCUGACUCUCUCACUCUGGCUCUCUCAUACACACACACACACACAGACAGCACACGCUCACUCAUUCACACUUACUAAGUUCACAACAUCUCGCUGCUAGGAUCACACCCCAACCCACCAAACUAACCCAAUGGUUGAGAUGGUGAGAAUUCAUAACCAACUGCAUUUCUCUCCAAGUUACCGCCUCAAUCCAAAAAUGUAUACUUUGGUUAUUUGAGGUUUGAAACACAUCAUCUAUCCCCAUUCAAAACGACGAGCCAGACAUUUCAGAUGACAGUUUUAUGCAUGUUCACUUUGGUUUUCACAGAUUCCACAUACUGAAGUGCUUUAGAACAGUGGUUCCCAACCAGGGGAACUUGGCCUAUCCACAGGGGGUACUUGAGAAGACUCAUGAGACCAUAGGCCUACUGGUAAAAUGUACAUGGGUAAAAGGUUGGGAACCACUGCUUUAGAACAACAGCCGUGGUUAAUAGGUGGGCUAACUACAUCAGCAGGCGGUGUAAAAGUAGUGACACUGUGUCUGGUGCACUCUCUCACUCUCCUCAGAAUGAUGACCACACAUCACCCUGUACAUAGUGGGGAAAUUUGCAGACCGUCUCUUUCACUCCAAACAGGUAGAUGUGUAAACACAAUUACAUUAUACCCAACAAUACUGUACCCUGUGCCCUAAAGAGUCAUUAAACCUAUCAGGGUUGUGAUGUUUCACUGUGGAAGCUCAAUUUGUAUUGGAUGCAUGUCUAUAUAAUCAAUAAAGAGAACGCCAUCUCCAGGUUUUUGGUACAACGGUUCCCCAAAUUCCAGAAUUCCUGCAAGAAUGAGGAGAAUUCCUGUAAGUGCUAUGGAUUCCUCAGAGAACUGCAAAACGUUGUGUGAAAAUAGAACAGAAGUGCUGUUCUUUCAAACCAUUGUACCAUAUCAGCCAAGCACAGCAUUAUGAAAAUAAAUAAAUAAAUACAACAUGAGGAUUUCCCCCAAAUGCCACCAUGACACUGUUGGGAUUAAUCUACCUGGUACUAAACUAAUAUCCCCCUUCAAUGAUUACGGAGAUGGGAGGGAUAGACUGUAAUACCUUGGAUUGAUGGAAAUGGGAGGGAUAGACUGUAAUACCUUGCUGUGGUAGAAAUGGGAGGGAUAGACUGUAAUACCUUGGAUUGAUGGAAAUGGGAGGGAUAGACUGUAAUACCUUGGAGUGGUGGAAAUGGGAGGGAUAGACUGUAAUACCUUG
ensembl:lncRNA